CGUUGUACACACCGCCCGUCACACCAUGGGAGCGGGUUCUGCCAGAAGUAGUUAGCCUAACCGCAAGGAGGGGCGAUUACCACGGCAGGGUUCGUGACUGGGGGUG
rnacentral:rRNA from 1 species